UACGUAGGUGGCAAGCGUUGUCCGGAUUUAUUGGGCGUAAAGAGCUCGUAGGCGGUUUGUUGCGUCGGCUGUGAAAACCUGAGGCUCAACCUCAGGCCUGCAGUCGAUACGAGCAGACUAGAGUGUUGCAGGGGAGACUGGAAUUCCUGGUGUAGCGGUGAAAUGCGUAGAUAUCAGGAGGAACACCGGUGGCGAAGGCGGGUCUCUGGGCAACAACUGACGCUGAGGAGCGAAAGCGUGGGGAGCGAACAGG
rnacentral:rRNA from 1 species